rnacentral:rRNA from 1 species
CCUGAUAUUGAAAUUCGGCACAGCUUGUACAGGAUAGGUAGGAGCCUUUGAAACGUGAGCGCUAGCUUACGUGGAGGCGCUGGUGGGAUACUACCCUAGCUGUGUUGGCUUUCUAACCCGCACCACUUAUCGUGGUGGGAGACAGUGUCAGGCGGGCAGUUUGACUGGGGCGGUCGCCUCCUAAAAGGUAACGGAGGCGCUCAAAGGUUCCCUCAGAAUGGUUGGAAAUCAUUCAUAGAGUGUAAAGGCAUAAGGGAGCUUGACUGCGAGACCUACAAGUCGAGCAGGGUCGAAAGACGGACUUAGUGAUCCGGUGGUUCCGCAUGGAAGGGCCAUCGCUCAACGGAUAAAAGCUACCCCGGGGAUAA